UGGGGAAGGUCUGUGGCUCAAUGGCUGAGCUUCUGCUUGAUAUGCAGAAGGUCCCAUGUUCAAUUCCCGGUAUUUCAA
rnacentral:tRNA from 1 species